GAGAGCCUUGGAGGAGCCCUGAUGAAGAAGCAGGAACUGCACUGCUGUGAAGAGCUGCUCAUGAGAAAACCACCUACAAGGUUUCUGCUUAGCAGGGAAGACAUCCUCAAACCUGCCCUUAUUGAUGUAGCCCUGAAAGAAAUGCUUGCAGUUUGGUGGCAGAGAUCUCCUAACUCAUGCAUCCCAGGUCACUGGUGCCCCUGAAAAUGGACAUAUAAUUCAAGAGCUGGAGCAUGGCACCAGUGGAGAUGGUGCUGUAUUCCCAAAGCUAAAAGGAUUGCUGCCAUUAUAUAAAAGUAUUGCAUAGCAACUUUCUUAAAUCAGGUGAGGUAUUGAUUGCUUUUCUGAAGGGGCUAAUUGAAUCUGAUAACUCAACAGAGAAAGCAAUUUUUUUGAAACACUGCCUUAAGAACUGUAUUAUCUAAAAGACAUAUUAGAUGAAUGCAGCAACCAACAUUUUUGUCAAUAGCUCCAAGAAUGAAGACUGUUCUUAAAAGCUGUUGAAAUACAAAUAUUUUGCAUCUCUGUUCCUAAAAAGGGGUAUAUUAGGUAAAAUAAUUUUUAAAAGCUUUCUUACUUGUCCUUAAGUGUAACUUCCCCAAUAUGCCUUUCAAACAUAGCCUGUGCUUACUAACAUUUACAGAAGGCUCAUGUAGAAAUUCAUGUAAAGUCAAGACUCCUGAUUUAGCAAUUGCACUUUACACCUGUGCUUAAAGCUAAGAAUAUUCCUGAGUGAUCUGCUGGGUAUGACCAGAAAAUAAUUGACAUAGGGUAGAUGUAAUAUCUGAUUUGAAAAUAUCCAAAUGUCCUAACUCCUGAAGGAAGUUUGAACAUUAGUGUAUUAAUAAAAUAAAAAGUCUUGUUUUAUUAAUGCAAAGCUGAUCACUGAAUCUUCUGGGUUGCUUCUUGGGCUUUCCAGUAAUCCAGGGCUAAAGGGGUUUAGGAGAUCAUUAGGACAUGUGGAAAACUGUCUGUUUGUUAGUUUGAAACUGCAAAACAAGUGUUAGUUUGAAAUGUGAAGGAAUGCUGGCCCCUGGGAGUGGUGUUUGUUGACUUAGCAAAACCCCUUGAAACAAAAAACCAUUCUCACACUAUUACAGCACUUCAACAGAAGAGUCAAUCACGUCAUCACGUCAAGGUAACACUGAAGUCCUCAUAUGUCUUCAUAACAUUAUAUGAAGAUAUAUGAGAACAUCAGUGUUACAUUGACAUGAAGAAUGAACAGAGAGAUACUGUUGGCAUUUGGAUUGGUACCAAACAAGGUGAUCAGAUGUUUCCAAUUUUGUUUAACUCAUCUAUGGAUGCUGUAACUGUAUAACUUGGAUGAGGAAGGAUGUGGGUUUCAAUAUUGCUUGAAAAAUAAACAACUGUGAACUUUGCACACA